UGGGGAAUAUUGCACAAUGGGCGAAAGCCUGAUGCAGCAACGCCGCGUGAGUGAUGAAGGUCUUCGGAUUGUAAAGCUCUGUCUUUUGGGACGAUAAUGACGGUACCAAAGGAGGAAGCCACGGCUAACUACGUGCCAGCAGCCGCGGUAAUACGUAGGUGGCGAGCGUUGUCCGGAUUUACUGGGCGUAAAGGGUGCGUAGGCGGAUGUUUAAGUGAGAUGUGAAAUACCCGGGCUUAACUUGGGUGCUGCAUUUCAAACUGGAUAUCUAGAGUGCAGGAGAGGAGAAUGGAAUUCCUAGUGUAGCGGUGAAAUGCGUAGAGAUUAGGAAGAACACCAGUGGCGAAGGCGAUUCUCUGGACUGUAACUGACGCUGAGGCACGAAAGCGUGGGUAGCAAACAGGAUUAGAUACCCUGGUAGUCCACGCCGUAAACGAUGAGUACUAAGUGUAGGAGGUAUCGACCCCUUCUGUGCCGCAGUAAACACAUUAAGUACUCCGCCUGGGAAGUACGAUCGCAAGAUUAAAAC
rnacentral:rRNA from 1 species